CCUACGGGAGGCAGCAGUGGGGAAUAUUGGACAAUGGGCGCAAGCCUGAUCCAGCAACGCCGCGUGGAGGACGAAGGUCUUCGGAUCGUAAACUCCUGUCAGACGGGACGAAGGGUUCAGGGUGAACAAUCCUGGAUCUUGACGGUACCGUCAGAGGAAGCCCCGGCUAACUCCGUGCCAGCAGCCGCGGUAAU
rnacentral:rRNA from 1 species